rnacentral:rRNA from 1 species
AUUUACAUUUGAGUGAGUGGCGAACUGGUGAGUAACACGUGGGAAACCUGCCCAGAAGCGGGGGAUAACACCUGGAAACAGAUGCUAAUACCGCAUAACAACUUGGACCGCAUGGUCCGAGCUUGAAAGAUGGCUUCGGCUAUCACUUUUGGAUGGUCCCGCGGCGUAUUAGCUAGAUGGUGGGGUAACGGCUCACCAUGGCAAUGAUACGUAGCCGACCUGAGAGGGUAAUCGGCCACAUUGGGACUGAGACACGGCCCAAACUCCUACGGGAGGCAGCAGUAGGGAAUCUUCCACAAUGGACGAAAGUCUGAUGGAGCAACGCCGCGUGAGUGAAGAAGGGUUUCGGCUCGUAAAACUCUGUUGUUAAAGAAGAACAUAUCUGAGAGUAACUGUUCAGGUAUUGACGGUAUUUAACCAGAAAGCCACGGCUAACUACGUGCCAGCAGCCGCGGUAAUACGUAGGUGGCAAGCGUUGUCCGGAUUUAUUGGGCGUAAAGCGAGCGCAGGCGGUUUUUUAAGUCUGAUGUGAAAGCCUUCGGCUCAACCGAAGAAGUGCAUCGGAAACUGGGAAACUUGAGUGCAGAAGAGGACAGUGGAACUCCAUGUGUAGCGGUGAAAUGCGUAGAUAUAUGGAAGAACACCAGUGGCGAAGGCGGCUGUCUGGUCUGUAACUGACGCUGAGGCUCGAAAGUAUGGGUAGCAAACAGGAUUAGAUACCCUGGUAGUCCAUACCGUAAACGAUGAAUGCUAAGUGUUGGAGGGUUUCCGCCCUU